UUUUCUUCCUCUCUGCAAAUGUUUUACUCCUAAUGAUGUUGUAUUAUUUUUAUCUGUACAGGAUUAAAAAACCCUUUUGUAAAUCCUCGAAAGAAGAUUUCUUGAUUCAUAUGUGACAUCCACAAAUCAGGGCCAGAAUCAACCAGAAGCUCCGGUUAACCACGUCGCUCGAAAAAACUCUGUUUUUAUGUAAAGAAUUACGAAAGGCUACACCAAAAUUCUUGACGGUUGAAAACUCCCCCUUUUCUUUAUGGGCAAAUUAAUAAAGUGUCCUGCUUCAAACCAUAUAAUUAAUAAACCGGCCAAGCUUUUAAAUUCUUUUAGAAACUGGCCUUUCCGUUAGAAUUGACACCUGGGCCCACCAGAUCGGUCAGCUGCGUUGAACAAGUCAAACUCGGUACGAGAAUUUACGACUGUGCCCUUGCCCAUUUACAGACGCGUGUGGUGUAAUCUCUCACCACACUUUCUAUUUCGUCCUCUCUUCUCCCUCGUUCUCUUCUCCCUCGUUCUCUUCUCCCAGUUCUGAAACUAGGGUUAGGUAUUGAAGCUGUUUGAAAAGAAAAAGAAAACUGAUGUUAUUGAAGUUGUUUUUGUUGAAGACAUAGAUGUUAGUGAAAGACCAGAGUGUAUUUGGAAGAAAAGUUCUACAUAUUUAGGGAUUCAGAGAUAGUGGUGAUACAGUGAAGAUGAGGUACAAACCGGGAUUGAAACUGUCUGAAUCAAGUCAGUUCAAAUUUAGGAAUAUCAGUGUAUAUGCGGAGCCAAAGAAUGAGACUUUGGUAUUUCCUGAUUGCCAUAGAGAUGAAACAGAGUUGAUGACACUUAAGUAUAUGGUGUAUAAGGGUUUGUCUAUGGAUGUUAAAGAGAAGUUUAAUUUAUAUUGGUUUAAGGAAGAAUGUCUGCCACUGCCAGGCUAGUAGCAGUGGUUGAAGGUGCAUCAAGAAAGCUGAGUUUCAUGGAUGUGCCCAUGUCCAAACAUUCUCAGGCUAGUAGCAGUGGUUGCAGUCAGUCAAAAGCUACAAAUGAAGUUAAGUUUGUUGAAGAUGUGGACAAUAUUCAGCUGGAAAACACCAAAGAAGAUGAAUGUCACCCAAUUGAGAAUCCAGAAGCUCCUCCAGUAUAUGACAGUGAUGAAGACAUUGAGUAUGGGUCAGAUGAAGAAGAACAAGAAGAGAAAGAAGAAGAAGAAGAAGAAGAAGAAGAAGAAGAAGAAGAAGAAGAAGGAGAAGGAGAAGAAGAUGAAGACAUUUGUUGGUGAAUGUUUUACAGGGCCUGGCAGUCAGCCUUUGGCAACACCAUCUUCUACUCCAGCUUCCACAACACCUAUGAGUCUGCCAUCUAUAACACCAUCUCUACUCCACCCUUUACAAUAAAUAACCUUUAUCAGAACUUCUUUGGCAUUGGAUCUGUAUCUCAGAAUAUAAAACAAGGAAAGGGAAAGGGAAGGGGAAAUGGAAAGGCUAAGAAGAAAUGAUUUGAGAUCCGUUUUCUGAUUUUUUGUGUUUAAGAAGACAAUAUUUUUUUCUUUUGUAGACUUGAAUUAAUGCUGAAUCAAAAGUGGCAGCAAUGAAGACUUCCUCUGAGACCCAUUUAAAACCGUCACAAUCUGUACAAGUGAGGUUUGAUUUUGCAGUGGGCAGUUUUUGAAGCAAUGACCAGAUUCUACGCAAGCGUAACAACCAUUCUCUACUGGUAAUUUCACCAUCUUGCAUUUGACAGGAUCGAUGGCAUCGUCAAACCAUUCAAAGUACUGACAGGGCCUAAUUUAUAUGAAUGAAGCUGAAUCUGACCGUUACAAAUCCAACCGUUACAAAUCCGACCGUUGCAAUGAGUCACCGAGUUGACUCGAUACUGGUUUGGCUACGAACUCAGACGAGGGUUAAGUCGUCUUUUACCUAGCAGGUUAACUGCCACAUAGCCAGUUAACUACCUAAAUCCGUUUUUUGAAAAAAACGGGAUGGAAAAUGUCAAUAUCGGCCAGUUUAUAUAAAGAUUCAAAAAAACGGCCAGUUUCUUAAAUAUGGUUCAAAAAGGUGGUUACUUUAUUAAAAAGCCCUUUCUUUAUCAUAGUAAGAUUAAACAGCUGGAGUUCGGAAGAAUUCUGUUAGGUCAGAGAUACCACACAGAUGUGAUGGUCGUCUGGGAACUCUAAUGCAGGACUGCUAGCAUCAUGUCGCUAGCAGUCGAUCGACCAGAUUUCUCCGAUAUAAUUAUUCGAUUGCAGGAGUUAAUCGCUUGAGUUUGCAGCAUCUCUUUGCAUCAAGCGUCAAGACUCAAGACAGUAAGCUGGACAGUAUGUACCGAUUUAUAAAUAGCAGAUUCCUUCGAAAAGAUCUUUGGAUAAACAGGGAACCCAAGUGUAUUAUUGUCAGAUGAUGACCACUUUUCUGCGUGAAUGUCGAGUUGUUUAAAAUACUUGUUCAUCCAGAUGAGCACCCCAUAAUCACACCGUGGCUCGUGGAUACUAUCUUCAGAUCACACUUACAGGUUGCUCCAGAACCGUUUAUCGCCACCCCGCUGUUAGCCACUACCAACACCUCCUUUUGCAGUUUCUUUAACUGGUUACGAUAUAAUAUUUUUCUGAUCCAAUUUUUGUUUUUUCAUGGAAGAUUGAGUAGAAUUAUUAACAUAAGUAAUAGAAAAUUUAGGUUCAGGUAGCCAAUGCGGACGGCAAAAUGUGGAUAGAAAUAACCUGCUGCAAUUAUUGCAUCUCUAGAUAACUUGUAACCUCCAUCAGGAAACUUACCAGCAAGCAUCCUGGAUAAGCAGUUUGGUCAAGAAUAAGAAAUAAUUAAAAGCUGGAAAUUUUUAGACUAAACUGAAAAAGUAGAAGUAUCUCUUUUUAAGGAA